rnacentral:lncRNA from 1 species
GAAGUAAUGGUCUAGGUUUCAAGGAAUGAUCUUUUCCACUCAAUUUUGUGAAGAAUCUUCGUAAGGUAUGGUAGCUUAUUAUUUAUGGGUAUCCUUCACCCUAGAGCCCCUUCAAAGUUCAAUUCCAAAACUAGUGUUUUCCCCCAAAAGGUUAGGCUUUAACUCUUAGUCAUGGAUUCUGUUUCAAAACAUUUUCAAUGGUUGAUUUAUGAUGAAUUGUUACUAUAUAGAUGAAAUAUUGCAGGUUUAUGAUGAAUUUCUCUUAUAACCCAUGAAAUUCCAAAUUUUAUUUGUUUGGAUCUUAAGUUUGGGUAUUGUUGUAUAUUUAUCUAACUAAGUAAAUAAUCGCUCUUUAUGGUGCAAUUACAUUAUUUUAGUAUUAUCAUACGUAUAAUCUUGAUUAACCUAAGAUUCUAGCGUGAAAUUGAUAUAGUUAGUAUUAUGCAAAGAAGAUGGCAUUGAGGGCCUAGAUGUGACCUUCUAAGAUUGAUAAACUUAUGUUGCAUGAGGUUAGAACAUCUAGAUAUGAAUCUCUUAAAAGUAAAGCUUAUAGACAUGAAUUGAUUUGAUUGGGGCUUAUAGGAUGAAUCAUGGUUGAGAAAUAAUGAGAUGGAGUUUAUAUGUUGCUAUAUGACUAUAAUUGGUGAAGAAUGAAGCAUGUAGUUAGAUUACCUUAAGGAUUAGGUAUACAUGAUGAUCUCUUGAGGCAUUGCUUGAGAGUGAGGCUUAUAAAAUGAACAUGACUCCAAGGGCUUUAAGGGUAAAAGUUAUUAUGAAUAAGCUAAGCAUAUUAAGGAUUCAAGAAGAAAGCUAUUAUGUAUGUUAAAUUGUACAUGGCAUUAUUGUGGAAGGAGUUGAUCCACAUGACCUAUAAUACGAGUACAUGAGAUUGAGUAUAUACAAAUUGAAUUGCUUGAAUUGUGGUUAUAUCCAUGUCUAAUGUAGUGAAUUCUAAAUAUGUUGAUUUAAUCUGAUCUAUGAUUCUUGAAUGCAAAAUAUGAGAAUUAUUCAUGAUUGGCAAUAUUAUGUACAUGCUUUAUAAACAUUUUGAAAAAGAAGUGCCUAUGAUGAUGGUAUUUUGGUAGUGUCAUUGAAAGAACAACCUAACACACGCACUCCAUGCAUGAAUGUGAUUAUGAUGUAAUAUGGUGUUGUUGAAAGGUCAUGCUCAUAUACACCCUUACACUUGGCUAUGCAUAAAAUGUUUAUGACUAUAACGAUGACAAUGUUGUUGUGUUGAUUGAAAGACUUUUCUCAUGAACACAGUAUGAACAUGAUAUGAAGGCUUACUCACAUAUUAAUGAUUGUAAGGUUGAAAGGUCAUUCUCACCUAAUGAAUUUAUGAGUUGUAUCAUGAUGUUGUUGUGGAUUGAGAGUUAAGUCACUCUUCCAUAAACAUGAUCUUAUGUCAAGAUUUUACAUGAACUUGAAGGGAAUUAUGUCUAGCGCCAAGUGGAUAUGAAUAUGACAUGAAAGCUUUUACACCAGUUGGUCUGACUUUCAAAAUAAAAGCUUUUACGUCAGUUAGUUUGGGUUUCUAAAUAGGUUCCUUUUACCUAGUCAAUCCGAGUUCCCAAACAGUUAUCUCAUGAGAUGAAAACUUUUACCUUAGUCCGGAUUUCUAGUUUAAAUCUCCUUAUCCCAAAACUAUGUUCCCACAUAGGUCUUUAGCUAGUGGAUUCACCUAAGUUAACAAACUAUUUCUACCUUAGGCAAGUUGGACAUCUCUUUUCGGUGUGGGGGCAUGAAACCAAAUUUCAUGUAGCUCAACAUGGUCUAUGUCAGUUAAGAAACAAAAACAUGAACUAUGAACAAGAACAUGAGUCAUGUACUAUGAUUCCUCAAGAAUAUCUACUUAAUGUGAGUAGGGGUAUGAGACUUCAUUCAUACAUUACACAAGUAGGUUUUGAGAGUGGUCAUGAUAUAUUUCUCUUAUGACAUGAUUAUUUAUAAUUUAAUGCAUGCUUUAUAUGAAUUAUGAACAUGAACAUGAACUAUAUGUGUGACUUCUCAAGGAGCUCUACUUAGUGUGACUAGGGGGUAUGAGACUUCAUUCAUGAGUUGCACAAGCAGGUUUUGAAAGGGUUACGGUGUGAUUUUCUUAUGAUAUAAAGAUAUGUGAGUUUAUGCAUGUAUGAUAUGGAUUGUUUCUAAGAGUGGAUUUCCUUGUUAUAAGCUAUAAAUAUGAAUGUUUCCUUGUCUAUGAGUAUUAACUAUGGAUGAGAUCAAAGCAUGAUAAGUGUUAGCAUUGUGGGCUAAAUAGGGUACUUGGUGUAGAUGGGACAAAGGGAUCUUAUCUAUGCAUUUCACAAAUAUAACUUAGGGUUACUUAAGUGAUGGUUCUAUUAUGAUGAGAUGAUCUUGAUAUUUAACUAUGUAUGUGAAUUAUGUUUUAUGAUUAUUGGGGCAUACAUUAUGUUUAUGUUAUAGGUUAUGCUUGUGAUUGUUGAUAUCCUUUAUGUUAUGAUGAAUUGUACAUGAGUUUUCUUAUGAGCUACAUUCCCUAACUAUUUCAAAAAUCAUGUUCAAAAUUGGCAUAUAGAAUGGUUUCAACUAAAUAUCACGUUUAGGAUGUUUUAAGGAUUUUUAUGCAUGUCUAUCAUACUUUGUGCAUUUUUAUACUAACUCAUAUUUCUACUUUUGCUACAAGUGUAGGUCGUUCAGGUGUGCUUCUUCUAGUGUUCAAAGCUUGGAUUGAUUCUCUCUACACUUUUGGUGAGUCCUCAUAGUUUGAGGACAAAAGUUGUUCAUUUUGAAUGUCUUUCUUACAUUCUUUUUUGAGACUAUGUUGUAAAUGGUUGUGACCCUUAUUGAUACUAGAUUGUAUUAGAUGGGUUGUUGAGAAAUUUUUUAGACUUCCAUUUGUUUUUAUGAAAGACUUCGAUCAUAAAAAAAUUUCAAAUUCCG